rnacentral:rRNA from 1 species
UACGUAGGGGGCUAGCGUUGUCCGGAAUCAUUGGGCGUAAAGCGCGCGUAGGCGGCCCGGUAAGGCCGCUGUGAAAGUCCAAGGCUCAACCUUUGAAUGUCAGCGGAUACUGCCGGGCUAGAGUCCGGAAGAGGCGAGUGGAACUCCUGGUGUAGCGGUGGAAUGCGCAGAUAUCAGGAAGAACACCAACGGCGAAGGCAGCUCGCUGGGACGGAACUGACGCUGAGGCGCGAAAGCGUGGGGAGCGAACAGG